GCCCUGGUGGUCUAGUGGUUAAGAUUCAGCACUUGCACUGCUGCAGCCCAGGUUCAUUUCCUGGUCAGGGAA
rnacentral:tRNA from 1 species